CAGAGGAGACUGUGAUGGAAAUUACAGAGACCUGCUGUGGAUGGUGAUCCUAACAAAAGGCGAAAUGAUGCAGGCACGCAAUUCAGAGGGCGUCAUAAACUGAUCAAAAAGAACUGCUGGCGAAGCAAGGGCCAAAGAAAGAUAAGAGGCAUCUGAAUAAUGCCACACGGAUCAUCAAGGCUCAUCAAUCAACAGUAAAGCCAAUUGGAGGAAGGAAAAUAAACACUUCAACAAUUCCACUAACUCA